CUGCCAGGCUCUCACGUGCGCCAUGUCUCGUUCCUCCUGUGUCACCGCUCUGAAGAAAGUGGUUCAACAGCUCCGGCUGGAAGCCGGGCUCAACUGCGUGAAGGUUUCUCAGGCAGCUGCAGAUUUGAAACAAUUCUGUUUGCAGAAUGCUCAACGUGAACCCCUGCUGACUGGAGUAUCUUCAAGUACAAAUCCCUUCAGACCCCAGAAAGUCUGUUCCUUUUUGUAGUGCAACGAAUCUUUGGAGGUUUUCUAAACCACUUUUCAUGAACCAGUGAAUAUUCAAAGGAGAGCUAAAUCUGAUGCCUGUACACAAAGCUUAUCCCUAUAACAUGUGCCACACUAUCAUCGAACUUUUGCUUUUGCAUGUCCUUAACAUCUACCUCUCUGAAUUUUCAUGAAUUUCUAUUUCAUAAGGGAAAUUAUUUUAUAUGCACUGGUAGCAGCAUACAAUAAAAUACUAU